rnacentral:misc_RNA from 1 species
AUUAUUAUUAUUAUUAUUAUUCCUAAUUUCAUGACCAAACUUCCAUAUCAUAUUGAUCUUUCAGGCACUGAUACAAAUGAGGCUGUUGCUAACUAGCUAUUGAUGUUUCUAAGUUGUAAUCUCUACUUUAGUGUUUGUUAAACAACUACAUAAAUCACCAGUAAUCACACAAAAAAGAGAAGAGAAAAACUGUUAUUAAAAAAAAAAAGAAAAAAAUAUACAAAUUUCAAAGACGAGGACAACUCA